GACGAACGCUGGCGGCGUGCCUAACACAUGCAAGUCGAGCGGAGAUAGACUGAUGGUAACUGAAGCUUAUCUUAGCGGCGGACGGGUGAGUAACACGUGGGCAACCUGCCUUGGAGUGGGGGAUAACACCGGGAAAUCGGUGCUAAUACCGCAUAACAUACACAUACUGCAUGGUGAGUGUAUCAAAGGAGCAAUCCGCUUUAAGAUGGGCCCGCGGCUGAUUAGCUAGUUGGUAAGGUAACGGCUUACCAAGGCGACGAUCAGUAGCCGACCUGAGAGGGUGACCGGCCACACUGGAACUGAGACACGGUCCAGACUCCUACGGGAGGCAGCAGUGGGGAAUAUUGCGCAAUGGGGGAAACCCUGACGCAGCAACGCCGCGUGGAGGAAGAAGGUCUUCGGAUUGUAAACUCCUGUCUUCUGGGACGAAGUAUGACGGUACAGAGGAGAGCCACGGCUAACUACGUGCCAGCAGCCGCGGUAAGGUCACG
rnacentral:rRNA from 1 species